GCGAAAACGAUAGCGCCAGGACUGAGCGAUCAGUUGACGAGGACCAGAUUUUUCGAAAGAUUCGGCGGGUGAUCUGGAGGCUUGAUACAGUCUAAGUAGAUGGACAAAAACAUGUCGUGAGGCGUGAACAGAGCCAUCGAGUAUCCUCCA
rnacentral:ncRNA from 2 species